rnacentral:rRNA from 1 species
UGGGGAAUAUUGCACAAUGGGCGCAAGCCUGAUGCAGCCAUGCCGCGUGUGUGAAGAAGGCCUUCGGGUUGUAAAGCACUUUCAGCGAGGAGGAAAGGUGGUGAGCUUAAUACGCUCAUCAAUUGACGUUACUCGCAGAAGAAGCACCGGCUAACUCCGUGCCAGCAGCCGCGGUAAUACGGAGGGUGCAAGCGUUAAUCGGAAUUACUGGGCGUAAAGCGCACGCAGGCAGGUUUGUUAAGUCAGAUGUGAAAUCCCCGGGCUCAACCUGGGAACUGCAUUUGAAACUGGCAAGCUAGAGUCUCGUAGAGGGGGGUAGAAUUCCAGGUGUAGCGGUGAAAUGCGUAGAGAUCUGGAGGAAUACCGGUGGCGAAGGCGGCCCCCUGGACGAAGACUGACGCUCAGGUGCGAAAGCGUGGGGAGCAAAACAGGAUUAGAUACCCUGGU